AAAGCCAUGUGAGGACACAGCAAGAAGGUGGCCAUCUGCAAGCCAGGAAGGGGACUUUCACCAGAAACCAACCAUGCUGUCACCUUUACCUUGGACUCCCAACCUCCAUAACUUGCUGAUUCCCCAAAAGAAGAACGGACCAAGGAGACAUGGAACACUAAUUUUGGUUUGUAAUAUUUUUAGUCUUGAUAAAAAUAAGAAAUGAAGAAAAGCAUUAGCAAGAUGUAAAAAGGAAGAAAUUCAAAAUGAAAAAAGUAAAUAAAGAACAACAAAAAUACAUUUGAAUCCCGGUAUUACCUGGUUUCUAUAAAAUAGACUUAAGACAAAGCAUUCAUCUAAAACAAUUUUUCUACAAUAAAUUCUGUGUGUGUGUGUGUGUGUGUGUGUAUUCAUUUCUGUAUUUAUUUUCUCUAGUUGUUAGUUAUAAUGGAAUAAAGAACCAAGAAAAUAUAAAAUUUACAAUAAUGUACAAAGUCCUAGCAA